CAGACGUCCGAGGAAUGGAUGAUGCUGAGAGUCGAUACACUGAAGCAGGACGUAUGCAUGAUAUUUAAGGCAUGCAAACAUGUGAUAGAGUCACUUACCCUUGUGAAUGCGCUACAACUUCUCAGAACCAAUCAUCUCCUCAAUAAGCAUAUAGACAUCACGCUGCACCAUAUCCACGAGUGCGAGUUCAAUAGCUACAGCCUCUAUGAGGUGGCUCUUCGUUUUCGCUUGCUUAGAGAGCAUGGCCUUUGGGUAUCUCCAGAUGUGUUCGACAAAUUCAAGGACGAACGUGGGAGCUUCAGUAAGGAGAUAACAAAUGAACCAAAGGGAUUGUUAGGUUUGUACAACGCUGCAUUCCUUUUGAUUCAUGGUGAGCCGGAACUCGAAGAAGCCAUAUCCUUCGCAAGGUAUCAUCUUGAGUCAAUGAGGGGCAACUUCAAGUCGCCUUUAGCAGAGCAAGUCAAACGAGCCCUUGACAUUCCACUGCCAAGGACCUACAGAAGAUUGGAGACAAUGCAUUAUCUCACAGAGUACAAACAGGAGGAAGGGCAUAAUCCGAUUCUACUGGAGCUGGCAAAGCUGAAGUUUACCCUUUUGCAGUAUGUCCAUUUGAAUGAGCUCAAGUCUAUUUCCAGGUGGUGGGAAUGUGCUUACGAGCACAUGGGAUUAAGCUAUGCUCGGGAUCGUCUGGUGGAGUGUUACACUUGGUCCUAUACUUUGUUCUACGAGAAAGACUUUGAGCUGGCACGAAUGAUGUUUGCCAAAAUAUUGGCACUACAAACCGUGAUGAAUGACACAUAUGACGCCCAUGCCACCAUAGUGGAAAGCCGGCUGCUAAACACAGCCAUACAACGAUGGGAUUACGACGCUGAUUCUCUUCUGCAAGAGUAUUUGAAGAUGUUCUAUAAUUUACUACUCACAACCUUCAAGGAGUUUGAGGAUCAACUUGGACUUGACAAGAGAACUCAGGUGGCGUAUGUCAAGAAAGAGUUCCAAAAGCUAUCUACUUAUUAUCUCCAAGAAGCCGAAUGGUCACACCUGAAUUUCAAGCCAAGCUUUGAAGAUCAACUAAAUUUGACUAGCAUGUCCAUAGGCAUGCCAAUUCUAUGUGUGGCUAGUGCGGUUGGCAUGGGCGAUGCCCUAAUGAAGGGAACAUUGGAGAGGGUGAUUGAUUACCCUGAUGUCGUCAUGUCAUGCGCGAAGAUUGAACGUUUAAUGAAUGACAUUUCAGCAGUUCAUCUCGGAAAGAACAAAGGAGAUGUACCAACCACCGUGGAGUGUUACAUGUAUGAUCACAAGGUCAGCAGUGAGGUCGCCUUGUCCUGUAUUGAAUCCUUUAUGGAUGAUGAAUGGAAAACUAUAAACCAAGCUCGCUUUGAAGAUCUUGCACUAAUGUCAGCGGUUAAGAGGGUUAUCAACUAUGCUAGCAGCACAUCAUUGUUCUAUGGUAGGAAUAAAGAGGGAUUCACAUUUGGCACACACCUUCAAGAGACAGUUGAUAUUCUUUUUGUCAAAUCAGUUCAAUUGUAG
rnacentral:rRNA from 1 species